rnacentral:misc_RNA from 1 species
AACGCACCUUGCGCUCCUUGGUAUUCCGAGGAGCAUGCCUGUUUGAGUGUCAUUAAAUUCUCAACUCUCCAGUUUUUCUUGAAAUGCUGGCAGAGCUUGGACUUGGAGGGUUUGCUGGGAGGCUUCUUUGAAGGCUCCUGGCUCCUCUUAAAUGCAUUAGCGGAACCUUUGCUGAACUGCCUUCUGGUGUGAUAACUAUCUACAUCAUUGUGGGCUGACGCAUCUUGAGGGGACCUGCUUCCAACCGUCUUGCUUGCGAGACAGCUUUUGACCAUUUGACCUCAAAUCAGGUAGGACUACCCGCUGAACUUAA